rnacentral:tRNA from 1 species
GCCUGGGGGGCUCAGUCGGUUAAGCAUCUGACUUCGGCUCAGGUCAUCAUCUCGCGGUUUGUGGGUUCAAGCCCCGCGUCGGGCU